rnacentral:lncRNA from 1 species
CAGUCCUCGGCCAGCAGUGGCGGCAUCCCCGGCCGCCUAGCAGCCAUACACGGCCGUCCACAACCCUAAAACGAGGUGAGUUAGACGACUGUUGAUUGGAGUUACACAUACUUUCAAAUCUUGGUGCAUAUAUUCAAAACAAGCACAUGCGAAACUGAUUUAUUGGUUUCUUAACUUAUAGGACAUUCUAUUUCAUUUAAUUGUAGGAGUUUUUUUGUGCAGCAUUAGAUUAUUGGAACUCGACGUAUUUGCAGUAUCUCAUCCCUAGCAUGCAGACACAAUUGUUUUUGAGUUAGUUUGAUUGUUGUGUUAAUUACUAUUAACUUUGCUUUUCACUAGGCUGUUAACUAAUUUGGUCAUGCAAAACUAAUUUGGUCAUGCAGGUCAGGUUGUUCACUAGGCAGUCAAUCUUCUCAAGUUCUGUCAGUUUUACCGUCUUUUCAGUGGUCUUGGUUGGAUCUUCUUUCUGUUUGUGUUCCCAUGACUUUCUAGGUAAGCAUCCAAAGAACCAAACUCUUUGUAGAUCUAUUGUGUUGCUAUCCCAAUCAAAUAUUUUUUUUAUCUCACAACAUCACUGGAGAUUAUUUUUAUUAUUCAAUCUUGAUGGCUAAUACCUGAUGAAUAGAUGAAAAACAUCACAUAAAUAUGCUUGGUAAUUUAUUGCUUAUUGCUCCUAAAAAGACAAGCCAGUAGACUGUAAAGGUUUUCUUUUUGCACUUUGGAUGCUUAAUCUAAAGAGAAGAUGCUUAUUGCAUGUUUCUGACCAAAAGAGUUACAAGUUUUCUGAUUUAAACAAGCUGAAUAUAUAGGAUCAACCUUAAUGAGUCAUUUUGUGAAAUAAAUUACCAUUCUCAUAACUGAAAGAUCUCAAUUUAUAGAUCUUGUCCACCGAAUCAUAUAUCCUCGCUGAGCUAUGAGAAUUGAGAAAGUACCAAGAGGCCUUUAUAAAUGAAUUAUAUAAAACAAACACUUGCAGCAUGAAAAAUAGAUAAAACAAUUAAUUGGGAACAAGCAGGAUCGGUAUUGUGGCUACUAACUAUCAUAAGAAGCUAAUGCCAAAACACAAAUGAAUUAAAUAAAACUUUCAGAGUCCACACUGGCUUCAUUAACCAACACAAAAACUAGCAGUGAACAAAUUAAACUACUUAAUAGCAGGGCAUUCCAACUAGGAGGAAGGUGAAGCCAUACCUCGAAGUGAGGGUGUUGGGUGUGGCGCUGUGGGGCUCUGGCACCGUGGCGGCUGCAACACCUUGGGUUUCUGCCUCUGCCGAGGUAUGCAGAUUUAGGAAGGGAUGAGGUCGGGGGUGGUUUGUGCUUCUUGCCGGUGGAGACUUGCACGGCCUGGUUUCAUGCCAGCGGCCUCCUGCCCACCAUGCCUUCUACCCAAAACCCUGUCCACGUACAUGGACCACGAUGAUGGGUUUUGCAGCUGAGGAAGCGGUUGGUCGAGCACUGGCUCAAUGGGGGUGGUGGUGUGAGCACGACGCGGAGGGGGACGCUGCAAGCACGAGGGAGAGGCACGCUGAAAAUAGGUCCUAUUCGUGAGAAAUCUUAGCGGGUGUUGUGUCCAUUCGUGCAUAGGGUAAUUAUGCAUAUGAAAAAAAUCUAUUCUGUCCAUAGUAAAGUCAAUGGAGACGAAUAUUCUUUCCAGCCAUUGCAAACCUUUGAUCAAAAUGCUUAAUACACAAAUACUAAGGAUAUCAAAUUUUGUGCACAUAUCUAGGUGAAUGAAAAAUCUCUCACAACAAAUUACCUUGCAAUGAAGACAAAUCUUAAUCUCUUGUCAAGAUAUCUUCAGUAUGUGCGCAAUGUGGAACUCAUGGGAAUAAGAAUGUUUGCCUCUGCUUUCAUUGACACCACGAAUUAAGUCCAUUCUUGGGCCAAUCCAAUUGAAAGGUCUCGCGAUUGUGAAUUCAAGGCCAUUUUUCGUGCCUUCAGCUGCCAGAUACUCAAAUGAUAACAACAGCAAGUGUUAUAACAAGAAGAGGACCAUCAACUGUACAGUGGCAAAACAUAAGACAAUUUACUUUAUUGACCAACUAUCAGGCUCUCGAUAAGCUGCUUUGCGCAUGCAUAGGACCAUCGUUGUAUCACGAUUGGACCAAAAAUAAAGGGUGACUCAUCUUCUUUCAGAACAUAAAAUUCAGGAUAAAUGCUAAUAUCUUCUUCCAUAAGGACUCUUACAAAAGAACAUCUGAGACCUACUUCAAUCAAGUUCAGCAAUAUGUUCAUGAAUGUUUGACCAGUGAACUUUUAAUGACGUAUUAGCUAAUAAUAUUUAGUUAAAAUGCCUAAGAGAGAAUGGUGUUUAUACUUAAUAGAAAGUUAAUUGAUUUACCAGUUCAGCUAUCCAAAUCUAAAGAGUUUUUUUUAAAUACCCCGCACAUCUCAAUGUCCUAUACAUAGCAACUCCGGUACAAAUCUUACUUGAUUUAUAUGGUACAAUUCAUUUCACUGAUCUAAGCAAGCUUAUAAAAAUAAAGCACCAGGUGUACACGACAGUAAUGUCCUUUUCCAAGAUUAAAACACCUACGCAUUGACAAAUAGGCUGGACCACCUCAAUCCAGUUUUGAGGCAUAAAUUCAAACCAUAUAACUAGGAGUCUGCAAUAAACAAUACCAAUCUUGAAUCUCAUUGUGCAAGAUAGAAGUUAUAUAAUACUUAUCUAGCAAUCUAAGUCAAGCAGAGCAGCUCACCUUACCGAACAUGGGACAGAGAAUCGGGAUGAUGGCACCGAAGAUGGGGGCGGCCACAACGAGAUGCAGGGGAUGGAGUAGCUCAGGCUUCGGGGAUGGAUGCGGGUGUACAACA